rnacentral:lncRNA from 1 species
GGCGUGGGCGGUUUCCAAAUGGAGAAGAAGGCCCUGACAGGUGGGCCCCACCUGUCAGUGGCAGCGGGCGCUCAUGCGCGGACCGGUCUGGUUCGGGCGCGGUCGGCCGGCGGUUCGGCCGGUUCAAGGCUUACCGGGCCGGCCCUGUGGGGCGGUCCGUUCUAUUUUUUUUCUCUUUAACCUUUUCUUUUUCUGUUUUUCUUAUUUCUUUGAUAUCUUUUGAUUUUGAACUCCAAAUUGGUCCAAAUAAAUUCCGGAAAAUUUGUAAAAUCAUGUUUUACCAUGAUACAACUUUUGGGAGUAGUUUCGCCUCAAAAUAAAAUACACAAAAUACAUUUUCAAUAUAAAUGCCUUUAGGGCCAUAUAACUAUUUAAAAUAAAAUACUUUUUCAACUCCAAAUAAUUAUCCAAAAAAAUUAUGGGUUAGCUUAUAUAUGCAAUAACCCCCCCCCCCCCGCCUUUUUUUUUAUAUAAACGCUAUUAGUUUGAAAAUCCAAAGUUCAAAUGGGUGUAAGCCCUAGGGUUUAAAUUGAAAUAAAAUCUUUUAAAGCCUUUUUGAGAUUUAAAUUUGAAUUCAGAUAUGCAAUUGUGG